GGUUAAAAUUACCCCCCUUGAAGAAAUAGAUGUUGUUGAAGUAGCUGAGCCCCGUUUGCUUAGGUUUUUCAAUAUUUCCUUCUUGGCCUUCUCCAUCAGCAAAUGCUUGACAUCAUUGUAGGAUGCCUCCCUUUCAUUACCCAGCUGGUUAACGACAUUCAACUUAACCCUUUCUCCAUUACCCCGUCCAACAUCAGCUGGACUUGCUGUGCUGCCUCCAUCAGAUUCCCAGCUAUGCCUAAGCCUACUUGUACUGGGGUCAUUUAUGCCUUUUUUCCUCUUGAAAGCAUUAAACUGUCCAGCUGAUAAAGCUGCACUUGGUCGUUUGGACGAAUGAUUUUUCCUUUUCAAUGCUUCCUCUCUUUUCGUUGCU
rnacentral:misc_RNA from 1 species